GAUGAACGCUGGCGGCGUGCCUAAUACAUGCAAGUCGAGCGAACGGACGAGAAGCUUGCUUUUCUGAUGUUAGCGGCGGACGGGUGAGUAACACGUGGGUAACCUACCUCUCAGCCUGGGAUAACUUCGGGACACCGGAGCUAAUACCGGAUAAUAUUUUGAACCGCAUGGUUCAUAAGUGAAUGACGGUCUUGCUGUCACUUAUAGAUGGAUCCGCGCUGCAUUAGCUAGUUGGUAAGGUAACGGCUUACCAAGGCAACGAUGCAUAGCCGACCUGAGAGGGUGAUCGGCCACCCUGGAACUGAGACACGGUCCAGACUCCUACGGGAGGCAGCAGUAGGGAAUCUUCCGCAAUGGGCGAAAGCCUGACGGAGCAACGCCGCGUGAGUGAUGAAGGUCUUCGGAUCGUAAAACUCUGUUAUUAGGGAAGAACAUAUGUGUAAGUAACUGUGCACAUCUUGACGGUACCUAAUCAGAAAGCCACGGCUAACUACGUG
rnacentral:rRNA from 1 species